CGGGCCGUGGCUCAGCUUGGUAGAGCGCUUGACUGGGGGUCAAGAGAUCGGUGGUUCGAAUCCACUCGGCCCGACCA
rnacentral:tRNA from 1 species